AUUGAACGCUGGCGGCACGCCUUACACAUGCAAGUCGAACGGCAGCACGGGUGCUUGCACCUGGUGGCGAGUGGCGAACGGGUGAGUAAUACAUCGGAACAUGUCCUGUAGUGGGGGAUAGCCCGGCGAAAGCCGGAUUAAUACCGCAUACGAUCUACGGAUGAAAGCGGGGGACCUUCGGGCCUCGCGCUAUCGGGUUGGCCGAUGGCUGAUUAGCUAGUUGGUGGGGUAAAGGCCUACCAAGGCGACGAUCAGUAGCUGGUCUGAGAGGACGACCAGCCACACUGGGACUGAGACACGGCCCAGACUCCUACGGGAGGCAGCAGUGGGGAAUUUUGGACAAUGGGCGAAAGCCUGAUCCAGCAAUGCCGCGUGUGUGAAGAAGGCCUUCGGGUUGUAAAGCACUUUUGUCCGGAAAGAAAUCCUUGGCCCUAAUACGGUCGGGGGAUGACGGUACCGGAAGAAUAAGCACCGGCUAACUACGUG
rnacentral:rRNA from 1 species